AUGCAGCUGGACGAUGCGUGUUGCAGGAUCACAGAUAGUGCAGGCAUUGGUGGUGAUCUACUUCUACUUUCUGUAUGGAGUUGGGAGUGUCUGCCUGUUGGAUGCCCGAAGAGCGUCAGGUUUAAUCCUUGGUAUGAAGAUGAACAUGACGAAUUACAACGCCCCACUUGGGCUUACAAGUGGGAUGUGGUUUCCGAGAUGACGAAUGAUGUCAAUCUCAUGUACCAAAAGUACAUUGCCGAGUUGGACAUGAUUACGCCUGCGCAAGUAAGGAGGUCAUUACUUCAGUCCUUUCUCAUACUUGCUUGA
rnacentral:rRNA from 1 species